rnacentral:rRNA from 1 species
GUGGGGAAUAUUGGACAAUGGGCGAAAGCCUGAUCCAGCAAUGCCGCGUGAGUGAUGAAGGCCUUCGGGUUGUAAAGCUCUUUAGUCCACGAAUAUAAUGACUGUAGUGGAAGAAUAAGCCCCGGCUAACUUCGUGCCAGCAGCCGCGGUAAUACGAAGGGGGCGAGCGUUAUUCGGAAUCACUGGGCGUAAAGCGUGCGUAGGCUGUUUUGUAAGUCAGAAGUGAAAGCCCAGGGCUUAACUCUGGAAUUGCUUUUGAAACUACAAGACUCGAAUUCGGGAGAGGAUAGCGGAAUUGUCAGUGUAGAAGUGAAAUGCGUAGAUAUUGACAGGAACACCAGUGGCGCAAGCGGCUAUCUGGACCGAUAUUGACGCUGAGGCACGAAAGCGUGGGGAGCAAACAGGAUUAGAAACCCGUGUAGUCC